UUGACAUCGAAACGCUGUAUUUGGUGGCCUUAUUCAAAUGCAUUUUUACUGCGAUCAAAGACGAAAUCGAAUAAAGUGCUUCGGUAGAAAUUUAGAUAAAGGCCAUAAAUUUAGUCCUACCAAAUAUUAUAAAAGGAUGGCCUUAAAAACAAAAGUUAUUCGAAGCCGAAAUUCAUCAAUUUUAACAUUUUGGCUUCGAUGCG